AACCCGUCCUCUCCCUAUAUUGAGAGUAUGGAAGGUGCGGGCGACAGCCGUCACGUGAUGCGGGGAAGGCGCGGCGCCCGGGGGAGGUUGGUUACGGAACACGGGAUCGGUGUGCGCGCGCAUGUUUGGUAUUCGGUCUUCCUCCCUCACGACUGAGAAAACAUUCCGUUUUUAGAUGUUUUGAACAGUUUAGGAGUCUGGCCAGCUGCUGAAAAGAAGCAAGCAAUGAGUAACAUCUCAGAAGAUACCUGAUUUACCUAGUCAUUUUCUCUGGCCCCUUUGCAACUGCUCAGACUUUGGUGCAAAUAACAUCACCUUCCACAAAGUGGGUACUAAUUCAGGUUGGAACCCAGAAACUUAGGACUUACAAACUCAAAACUUCAUUUUUGUUUUGUGAUUUUUGUGUUUUUUGAGACGGAGUCUUGCUCUGUU